rnacentral:rRNA from 2 species
GAUGACCAUAGCGUGUCGGUACCACCCCUUCCCAUCCCGAACAGGACCGUGAAACGACUCCACGCCGAUGAUAGUGCGGAUUGCCCGUGUGAAAGUAGGUAAUCGUCA